GUAGUCCGCACGAGCGCACCCUUGUCCUCAGUUGCCAGCACGUUAUGGUGGGGACUCUGGGGAGACUGCCGGNGACAACCCGGAGGAAGGUGGGGACGACGUCAAAUCAUCAUGCCCCUUACGUCUUGGGCUACACACGUGCUACAAUGGUGCAUACAAAGGGUUGCCAUACUGUGAGGUGGAGCUAAUCCCAAAAAGUGCNCCUUAGUCCGGAUUGGAGUCUGCAACUCAACUCCAUGAAGUCGGAAUCGCUAGUAAUCGUGAAUCAAAAUGUC
rnacentral:rRNA from 1 species